rnacentral:tRNA from 1 species
GCCUUCUUAGCUCAGGGGCAGAGCGUUGCACUCGUAUGUGAUUAGACAAAUAGUCUGUAUACAGAUUAAUGCAAAGGUCGUCAGUUCAAUUCUGGCAGCAGGCA